CCCAGCUUCUACGACUCAUCAGGCUCUUCGGCCGGCCAUGGUGAUUUCCUAAUCCAACACAUCUCUCUUUUUUCCCUUGUUUAUUCUUUUUAGAAAAUGCAAUUUCAAUAUUUUUCUUGAAACUUUUGUAUUUUUAACCAUUUGGUUUUAUCCUUUUCAAUGAUAUAAAUGUUGAGUUUGUAAUUAUGAAAAAAGAUAUAGAUUUCAAUCUUUUGUCUGGUGCUAUGUAUGCAUUUGUGAGUAUUUGAAGGAAUAUGGCUUGAAUGAAAGUGAAAUGGUGAAAUUUCUCUACUUGAUGCCUUUUAUUGAGUUUCAGUAGGGGCAAGAAGGCUAGAGUUAUAUAGGGGUGUUUGGUUCUUGCUGUAAUUUGUGUGGUCUGGACGAAAAGAAAUAAAGGGCUUUUGAAGGUAUGGUGGAGUAGGGGCUAAGGAGCUAUGGGAUAACUUGGCGAGGAGUCUAUGAUGUUGUAGGCCUACUAAUUUUUCAGAUUUUAGGAGGGUUUUGUUUCCCUCAUGCAUUUCUAUUUUCCUUUAGUGGUCCUCUUGACCACUUUUUCAUUGGUUGUUUUAUUGUCUUUGUUGCAAGAAAAUUAUUUUGUCUUUGUUGCAACCAGAAGAUGAUUAGAAUCCGGGAGAAAAGUAGUUUAUUAGCACAACAAUUCCAUGCAAUUACAAUUAUGAAUCUUUUUUAUUUUUAAUGCAUCAACUGAGGGAGCAUUUGCUGAUGACUUCAAUCAUUGAGGGCAACAUUAUUUUUAAAAGCUCCUAGUUGACUUCAAUCAUUGAGGCCAACCAUUUGGGGAAUUGCAGCAAAGUAUGCUUCUCUUCUUGGUGUCACGGCAAGGGAGUUGGUUCCCAUUACCGUAGAUACAUGGAAAGAAUUUGCUGAUGACUUUAAGCAUCAACUAUGGGAGCAUGUUCAGAUGCAAAAUGCUUAAGGAAGUGUAGAAACAAGGAGAGCAAAUUGGUUUUAAGCGUGCUACAAAGCAAAUCAAGCCUGAUAAUGUGAGUUUGGUACAAUGGCGAAGUUUUGUUAAGAAACACUUAGGUUCAAAAUAUAAGGAGGUAAGUGAGAGAUUCAAGAAAAUGAGGGCAAAGCAAACUAUGCUACACACAAUGAGUCGCAAAGGCUAUGCUCGCCUUGAAGAUGAGAUG